AGAACACCUGUUGGAGCACAUUGUUAAAAAUCUGCAACAAUCAUACAUAUGUGACAGAGUGAUGCAUUAACGUGAUGAAACGACGCCGGAAGUGAAGCAACGGCACCCCAGUGUGGCAGCUCCUUCCCGCCGUAGCCGAGGAUCCUGUUGGGGAAGCCCUUUCUGCAGAUUCGGAUGCCUUCCAGCACGCCGUUACAGCGCAGCUGGUGCAUCACCAGAGGGUUUUCCAUGGCUCCGGGAGUCUUGGUUUCGUUGGGGAUGAUGCAGCGCACAAAGUGGGGGAAACGCAGACGAGGGGAAGGAAACGUCUGGCUCAGCACUCCUGGGGAAGGCGGUGAGCCACAAAGAGGAAAAUAUAAGCGCUGUUUUCAAGGUUAGUCAUUUCACUUUAUUCUAUCUUCCACGUUUGAGUCAGCAAACUGGAGAAAAAACAAACAUGAACGCAUCGGCUUGUUUCAGCACCUUGCAAUUGAUCAAGUUUGCAAGUGCCCUCUGCUGAUUGAAUUUUGCAGUCAAGUGAAUGACUUCUUUCAAUUAAGUGUCCAGCGAAUGCCUGUAUCAGUGAAAAG